AGCGAACGCUGGCGGCAGGCUUAACACAUGCAAGUCGAGCGGGCGUAGCAAUACGUCAGCGGCAGACGGGUGAGUAACGCGUGGGAACGUACCUUUUGGUUCGGAACAACACAGGGAAACUUGUGCUAAUACCGGAUAAGCCCUUACGGGAAAGAUUAUCGCCGAAAGAUCGGCCCGCGUCUGAUUAGCUAGUUGGUGAGGUAAUGGCUCACCAAGGCGACGAUCAGUAGCGGUCUGAGAGGAUGAUCAGCCACAUUGGGACUGAGACACGGCCCAAACUCCUACGGGAGGCAGCAGU
rnacentral:rRNA from 1 species